CACAGACGGGCGAAGGGGUAUUGGCCACGCUGCUGUUCCAGGCCGGCUGGCUGACGGGGUGCUGCAGCUGAUGCUGCCACGAGGGCUGUGGUAAGGCGGUGCUGGAUAGUGUUCUUUGGAGUUAAAAAAGGCCUCCGUCUCAGAGCGAGGAAUGCCCAUGCGUUGAAUAUACACAUGGACCAGAAAAUCCAGCUUUCUGUCCAUGCAGACCACCUGCAGGCAGAAGCAAAGCACACACAUCAGGAGAAGUUUCGAAGGCUCCAACCGGAGCAGCUGUCCUCACCUGUUUCUCAACUUUGACCAGACGUCCCAUCAUGCUUGGGUCCUCUGAAGACUCCGCCUCACCUUUUGAAGCUUUACCCACUAUUUGGUCAACUCUAGCAUUGGAAAAUGUCAGAUCUGAGGUUACAAAUAUUUUACAGUCCUGCAUAUAGUAAAGUAAUUGGUAAUUUGUGGGUUUUCUGGUCUAAGAUCAUCUCGUAGUGCUGUCUAACAUAUGUCCAAAUUUGGUGAUUUUUUUCUAAACUUGGGAUUUUUUUAUUGGACAGUAACAGUGGUUGUUAAACUUCAAGUUAGCCAAAAAAAUGUAUGGUGUUGAGUGACUAUUUGUUGUUGUUUGUAUAACGAAAACUCCACAAAGACUACCUUAGAAAGAGACAAAAUUGUGACUUAUUUUUACAUGGUAAACGUAUGAAAACAGCAUUUAAUUUGAUGUUGUCAUGCUAAUGAUGAAUAAACUGAUGACAAAAUAACUGAA